rnacentral:rRNA from 1 species
AACUAGGUACUCGGAGGACAUUACGAGUAACAGGGGAGUUGUAGCUGGCCGCAAGGCAUGUGCACGCUCUCUACUCAAUCCAACCUUACACCUGUGCACCUAUUGUAGGUCGAGUGGCUGGACUUGUUCUGGUCGCUCUUCCUAUGUUUUACACAUACACUUGUAGUCUCAGAAUGUAAUCCGCGUAUAACGCAUUAUAAAACAACUUUCAACAACGGAUCUCUUGGCUCUCGCAUCGAUGAAGAACGCAGCGAAAUGCGAUAAGUAAUGUGAAUUGCAGAAUUCAGUGAAUCAUCGAAUCUUUGAACGCACCUUGCGCUCCUUGGUAUUCCGAGGAGCAUGCCUGUUUGAGUGUCAUGAAUAUCUCAACUCAUCCGGUUUUUAUUAACUGUGGUGGGCUUGGACUUGGAGGUAUGCUGGCUGACUAGUCGGCUCCUCUCUAAAUGUAUUAGCUGGACCUGUUACGGAUCAGUACUCGGUGUGAUAAUUGUCUACGCCGUGUCUGUGAAGUGCUUGAAUGGACUAGCUUCUAACCGUCUUCGGACAACUACUGACAUUUUGACCUCAAAUCAGGUAGGAUUACCCGCUGAACUUAAGCAUAUCAAAAACCGGGGAAGAAA